rnacentral:misc_RNA from 1 species
GAAAUGCGAUAAGUAAUGUGAAUUGCAGAAUUCAGUGAAUCAUCGAAUCUUUGAACGCACAUUGCGCCCGCCAGUAUUCUGGCGGGCAUGUCUGUUCGAGCGUCAUUUCAACCAUCAAGCCCCGGGCUUGUGUUGGGGACCUGCGGCUGCCGCAGGCCCUGAAAAGCAGUGGCGGGCUCGCUGUCACACCGAGCGUAGUAGCAUACAUCUCGCUCUGGGCGUGCUGCGGGUUCCGGCCGUUAAACCACCUUCGUAACCCAAGGUUGACCUCGGAUCAGGUAGGAAGACCCGCUGAACUUAAGC